UACGUAGGGUGCGAGCGUUGUCCGGAAUUAUUGGGCGUAAAGGGCUCGUAGGCGGUUUGUCGCGUCGGGAGUGAAAACACCGGGCUUAACUCGGUGCUGGCUUUCGAUACGGGCAGACUAGAGGUAUUCAGGGGAGAACGGAAUUCCUGGUGUAGCGGUGAAAUGCGUAGAGAUCCGGAAGAACACCGGAGGCGAAGGCGGCUUGCUGGGCUUGGUCUGACGCUGAGGCGCGAAGCGUGGGGAGCGAACAGG
rnacentral:rRNA from 1 species